GACGAACGCUGGCGGCGUGCUUAACACAUGCAAGUCGAACGGUGAAGCGCCUUCUUUUUUGGUGGGUGUGGAUGAGUGGCGAACGGGUGAGUAACACGUGAGUAACCUGCCCCCUUCUUCUGGAUAACCGCAUGAAAGUGUGGCUAAUACGGGAUAUUCUGGGUCUGUCGCAUGAUGGGUCUGGGAAAGAUAUUGUUUCGGUGGGGGAUGGGCUCGCGGCCUAUCAGCUUGUUGGUGGGGUGAUGGCCUACCAAGGCGGUGACGGGUAGCCGGCCUGAGAGGGUGGACGGUCACACUGGGACUGAGACACGGCCCAGACUCCUACGGGAGGCAGCAGUGGGGAAUAUUGCACAAUGGGCGCAAGCCUGAUGCAGCGACGCCGCGUGAGGGAUGGAGGCCUGCGGGUUGUGAACCUCUUUCGCCAGUGAAGCAGGCCUGCCUCGUUUGUGGGUGGGUUGACGGUAGCUGGAUAAGAAGCGCCGGCUAACUACGUG
rnacentral:rRNA from 1 species